rnacentral:rRNA from 1 species
AACGCGAAGAACCUUACCCAGGCUUGACAUGCAGCGGACCGCUCUAGAAAUAGGGCUUUCCUUAGGGACUGCUGCACAGGUGCUGCAUGGCUGUCGUCAGCUCGUGCCGUGAGGUGUUGGGUUAAGUCCCGCAACGAGCGCAACCCUUAUUGUUAGUUGCCACCAUUUAGGAUGGGAACUCUAACGAGACUGCCUGGGUUAACCAGGAGGAAGGUGAGGAUGACGUCAAGUCCGCAUGGCCCUUAUGUCUGGGGCUACACACGUGCUACAAUGGCCGGUACAGAAGGCAGCGAAACCGCGAGGUGGAGCAAAUCCCAAAAGCCGGUCCCAGUUCAGAUUGUAGUCUGCAACUCGGCUACAUGAAGUUGGAAUUGCUAGUAAUGGCGUGUCAGCAACAACGCCGUGAAUACGUUCCCGGGCCUUGUACACACCGGCUAC